rnacentral:rRNA from 1 species
CCUACGGGAGGCAGCAGUGGGGAAUAUUGGUCAAUGGGGGAAACCCUGAUCCAGCGACGCCGCGUGAGUGAAGAAGUCUUUCGGUACGUAAAGCUCUAUCAGCAGGAAAGCAAAUGACGGUACCUGACUACGCCCCCCCGGCUAACUACGUGCCAGCAGCCGCGGUCAUACGUAGGGGGCAAGCGUUAUCCGGAUUUACUGGGUGUAAAGGGAGCGUAGACGGCAGCGCAAGUCUGGAGUGAAAUGCCGGGGCCCAACCCCGGAACUGCUCUGGAAACUGUGAAGCUGGAGUGCAGGAGAGGUAAGCGGAAUUCGUGGUGUAGCGGUGAAAUGCGUAGAUAUCAGGAGGAACACCGGCGGCGAAGGCGGCUUACCGGACUGUAACUGACGUUGAGGCUCGAAGGCGUGGGGAGCAAACAGGAUUAGAUACCCGGGUAGUC